UCUCUGUAACCUGUGUGACGUGUAUUUAGGUGUCUCUCUGUAACCUGUGUGACGUGUAUUUAGGUGUCUCUCUGUAACCUGUGUGACGUGUAUUUAGGUGUCUCUCUGUAACCUGUGUGACGUGUAUUUAGGUGUCUCUGUAACCUGUGUGACGUGUAUUUAGGUGUCUCUCUGUAACCUGUGUGAUGUGUAUUUAGGUGUCUCUCUGUAACCUGUGUGACGUGUAUUUAGGUGUCUCUGUAACCUGUGUGACGUGUAUUUAGGUGUCUCUGUAACCUGUGUGACGUGUAUUUAGGUGUCUCUCUGUAACCUGUGUGACGUGUAUUUAGGUGUCUCUGUAACCUGUGUGACGUGUAUUUAGGUGUCUCUGUAACCUGUGUGACGUGUAUUUAGGUGUCUCUCUGUAACCUGUGUGACGUGUAUUUAGGUGUGUCUCUGUAACCUGUGUGACGUGUAUUUAGGUGUGUCUCUGUAACCUGUGUGACGUGUAUUUAGGUGUCUCUGUAACCUGUGUGACGUGUAUUUAGGUGUCUCUGUAACCUGUGUGACAUGUAUUUAGGUGUCUCUCUGUAACCUGUGUGACGUGUAUUUAGGUGUGUCUCUGUAACCUGUGUGACGUGUAUUUAGGUGUCUCUCUGUAACCUGUGUGACGUGUAUUUAGGUGUCUCUGUAACCUGUGUGACGUGUAUUUAGGGUGUCUCUCUGUAACCUGUGUGACGUGUAUUUAGCUGUCUCUAACCUGUGUGACGUGUAUUUAGGUGUCUCUCUGUAACCUGUGUG